CCUACGAGGGGCAGCAGUGAGGAAUAUUGGUCAAUGGGAGAGAUCCUGAACCAGCCAAGCCGCGUGAGGGAAGACGGCCCUAUGGGUUGUAAACCUCUUUUGUCGGAGAACAAAACCCGGGACGUGUCCCGGACUGCGUGUAUCCGAAGAAAAAGCAUCGGCUAACUCCGUGCCAGCAGCCGCGGUAAUACGGAGGAUGCGAGCGUUAUCCGGAUUUAUUGGGUUUAAAGGGUGCGUAGGCGGAUUUUUAAGUCAGCGGUAAAAUGUCCGGGCUCAACCCUGGCCGGCCGUUGAAACUGGGGAUC
rnacentral:rRNA from 1 species